rnacentral:rRNA from 1 species
ACUCAAAUGAAUUGACGGGAGCUCGCACAAGUGGUGGAGCGUGUGGCUCAAUUCGUCGCUAAGCGAAGAACCUUACCAGGGUUAGAAAUCCUACUGCACGCCUAGCGAAAGCUAGGAAGCCUUCGAGGGUGUAGGACAGGUGAUGCAUGGCUGUCGUCAGUUCGUGGUUUGAAUCGUUCCCUUCAGUGGGGUAACGAACGCAACCCCCGUUGCCAGUUACAAGUGUCUGGCGAGACUGCCCCCUCACGGGGGAGGAAGGUGGGGAUGACGCCAAGUCCGCAUGUCCCUCUGAUAUCCUGGGCUGCACACGCGCUACAAUCGCCGUUACAAAGGGACGCAAGACCGUAAGGUGGAGCAAAUCCUAAAAAGCGGCGCCAGUUCGGAUUGAGGUCUGCAACCCGACCUCAUGAAGCCGGAAUCACUAGUAAUCGUGGGUCAGCCACACCACGGUGAAUACGUUCUCGAGCUUUGUACACACCGCCCGU